GAUGAACGCUGGCGGUAUGCUUAACACAUGCAAGUCGAACGGGACUCUUCGGAGUUCAGUGGCGGACGGGUGAGUAACGCGUGAGAAUCUGCCCUGAGGUUCGGGACAACCAUUGGAAACGAUGGCUAAUACCGGAUAUGCCGCAAGGUGAAAGAUUAAUUGCCUGAGGAUGAGCUCGCGUCUGAUUAGCUAGUUGGUAGGGUAAGAGCCUACCAAGGCGACGAUCAGUAGCUGGUCUGAGAGGACGAGCAGCCACACUGGGACUGAGACACGGCCC
rnacentral:rRNA from 1 species